UAGCGUAAUCACUUGUUCUCUAAAUGUGGACUAGUAUGAAUGGCAUCACGAAGGUUAUACUGUCUCCUUUUUCUAAUCAGUGAAACUAAUCUCCCCGUGAAGAAGCGGGGAUAGUACUAUAAGACGAGAAGACCCUAUGGAGCUUUAAACAACGCAGCAUCUACCCCACAACCCUGAAAUUUCCGAAUUUAAACUCCUCUGGGCAGUGUGACUGCGAGUUUUUGGUUGGGGUGACCACGGAGCAUAACAUAACCUCCAUGCUGAAAGAAUAUUUCUAAGCUAAGAACCACAAAUCCAAGCAUCAAUAAAUUGACAUCCAUUGACCCAAUACACUUGAACAACGAACCAAGUUACCCUAGGGAUAACAGCGCAAUCCACUUCAAAAGCUCCUAUCGACAAGUGGGUUUACGACCUCGAUGUUGGAUCAGGGUCUCCCAGUGGUGCAGCCGCUACUAAAGGUUCGUUUGUUCAACGAUUAAAACCCUACGUGAUCU
rnacentral:rRNA from 1 species